UACGGCCAUAUCAUUCUGAAACACGCUUCUAAUACGAUCACCGAAGUUAAGCAACGUUGAGUCUGGUCAAUACCUAGAUGGAUGAUCGCUUGGGAAUACCAGGUGCUAUA